rnacentral:rRNA from 1 species
AUUGAACGCUGGCGGCAUGCCUUACACAUGCAAGUCGAACGGCAGCACGGGAGCAAUCCUGGUGGCGAGUGGCGAACGGGUGAGUAAUAUAUCGGAACGUGCCCAGUCGUGGGGGAUAACGUAGCGAAAGCUACGCUAAUACCGCAUACGAUCUAUGGAUGAAAGCGGGGGAUCGCAAGACCUCGCGCGAUUGGAGCGGCCGAUAUCAGAUUAGGUAGUUGGUGAGGUAAAGGCUAACCAAGCCGACGAUCUGUAGCUGGUCUGAGAGGACGACCAGCCACACUGGGACUGAGACACGGCCCAGACUCCUACGGGAGGCAGCAGUGGGGAAUUUUGGACAAUGGGCGCAAGCCUGAUCCAGCAAUGCCGCGUGCAGGAUGAAGGCCUUCGGGUUGUAAACUGCUUUUGUACGGAACGAAACGGCGAGCUCUAAUACAGCUUGCUAAUGACGGUACCGUAAGAAUAAGCACCGGCUAACUACGUGCCAGCAGCCGCCGUAAAAC